AACGAACGCUGGCGGCAUGCCUAACACAUGCAAGCCGAACGAGACCUUCGGGUCUAGUGGCGCACGGGUGCGUAACGCGUGGGAAUCUGCCCUUCGGUUGGGAAUAACUGAGAGAAAUUUCAGCUAAUACCUUAUAAUGUCUUCGGACCAAAGAUUUAUCGCCGAGGGAUGAGCCCGCGUAGGAUUAGGUAGUUGGUGGGGUAAUGGCCUACCAAGCCGACGAUCCUUAGCUGGUCUGGGAGGAUGAUCAGCCACACUGGGACUGAGACACGGCCCAGACUCCUACGGGAGGCAGCAGUGGGGAAUAUUGGACAAUGGGCGAAAGCCUGAUCCAGCAAUGCCGCGUGAGUGAUGAAGGCCUUAGGGUUGUAAAGCUCUUUUACCCGGGAUGAUAAUGACAGUACCGGGAGAAUAAGCUCCGGCUAACUCCGUG
rnacentral:rRNA from 1 species